rnacentral:lncRNA from 1 species
GCUUUUCAUUGGAUGCACUUGAGCUCAACCACUCUCACUGGCAGAGCUGUGAUAAACACAAAACACAAUUGGCUGUUUUUGUAAAGGGGAGGAGCUAUUUUAUGUCCCGCUUUCAAAUUAUUUCUUAGUUGAGAUUACUUCAAGCAUUAAAAUAAAAAAUACACAUUUCAAAGCACUUCAUGGGACCAUUAACAUAUUGAAUCAAUACACUCUAUGGCACCUUUAAAAUUCCAUCUUUUUAAACAGUAUUUUCUGCAAGCCUACUCUACUUUCCCAUGCUGAGAUCAAUCAGAUAGCACAGUUUGUUGUUUUCUGAUUGUUGUGAUUAAAGUCAAAAGUAAAAAUAAUUGAAAACUGUGAAACAGCUACUCAUCAUUAGAUUUAGAUCAGUUCAUUUGAUUUGAUUUAUGAGAAUUAUAUUGUGUUUUUUUUAGCAUUCAUGGUGUGAACAGGCCCUAAGAACAAGAAAUGUAUGUUUGUGUUUUAUUUAUUUUCAGCAGAUAUACAUAACUAUCUAACAAUACUUUUCUCACACAUCAAGGUGUUUAUAGGUAAUCAAAACCAUGACACGCCAGAAGUGCGUACAUUUGAUCCAGUGCUGAUGCGUUUCCUGCGUAUCUACCCUGAGCGUGGCUCUCCCGAUGGCAUGGGAUUACGACUGGAGGUUUUAGGGUGUGACCUGCAAGAGCCCACAACACCUCUUCCUCUUGCCACUACUAUGGAGACUACAGCAGCUACAGUCACUAGCGCUAGUAUGCUACUAGGAAACAUCCCAACAACUACCACUUUUCCAACAACGGCAGAGAAUUGCGAUGAUGAUGAUGGAAACUGCCAUAGUGAUGCAUUGACAGACUACGACACAACAGAAACUGCAGUGUCAGAGCCAUUUCUGGAGAUGGAAGAAGCACCUGGUGAGUAACUAAACAAAAACAAAUAGUGAAAAAAAAGAGUCCUCCCUUAAAAUUAGGUGUACAUUUGGACCUCAAACGUUCCCAGAUUCUCAAAACACUUUUAAUGGGUUACUUUCUAUUGUGCCAUAAUUUGAAAAUAAAUUGUUAUAUGUUGUUUAAGCUUCAUUAUGAUGAUCACUAAUGUCUUUUCUUAGUCUUCUUAUGUACUUGCAUAGCAUACAGAUUCCUCAUUAGCCUGAAUAAUAUGUAGAUCUUUGGCGUUUACCAUAGUGAUGGUCCAUGAAUGUCUCUACUGCCCCCACGUGUUGCAUAGCGUAAGUGCAUGCUGUAAACUUUAUUUGCUGAACUUUUUAAAUACUUUUAAAAAGAUUUUAAAACACACUGCAGUGCAUUAGAUGAC